GACGAACGCUGGCGGCGUGCCUAAUACAUGCAAGUAGAACGCAGUUGCGAACGGGUGAGUAACGCGUAGGUAACCUGCCUCAUAGCGGGGGAUAACUAUUGGAAACGAUAGCUAAUACCGCAUACUGUGAGAUGGACCUGCGGUGUAUUAGCUAGUUGGUGGGGUAAAGGCCUACCAAGGCGACGAUCAGUAGCGGGUCUGAGAGGACGAUCGGCCACACGGGGACUGAGACACGGCCCAGACUCCUACGGGAGGCAGCAGUGGGGAAUUUUGGACAAUGGGGGCAACCCUGAUCCAGCAAUGCCGCGUGUAUGAAGAAGGCCUUCGGGUUGUAAAGUACUUUCAGCGGGGAGGCGUUACCCGCAGAAGAAGCACCGGCUAACUCCGUGCCAGCAGCCGCGGUAAUAC
rnacentral:rRNA from 1 species